GACGAACGCUGGCGGCGUGCUUAACACAUGCAAGUCGAGCGGUAAGGCCCUUUCGGGGGUACACGAGCGGCGAACGGGUGAGUAACACGUGGGUGAUCUGCCUCGCACUCUGGGAUAAGCCUGGGAAACUGGGUCUAAUACCGGAUAUGACUCCAUGACGCAUGUUGUGGGGUGGAAAGCCUUGUGCGGCUGAGGAUGGGCCCGCGGCCUAUCAGCUUGUUGGUGGGGUGAUGGCCUACCAAGGCGACGACGGGUAGCCGGCCUGAGAGGGCGACCGGCCACACUGGGACUGAGACACGGCCCAGACUCCUACGGGAGGCAGCAGUGGGGAAUCUUGCGCAAUGGGCGAAAGCCUGACGUAGCGACGCCGCGUGAGGGA
rnacentral:rRNA from 1 species